UACAGAGGUCUCAAGCGUUAUUCGGAUUCAUUGGGCGUAAAGGGUGCGUAGGCGGCGCGGUAAGUCGGGUGUGAAAUCUCGGAGCUUAACUCCGAAACUGCAUUCGAUACUGCCGUGCUUGAGGACUGGAGAGGAGACUGGAAUUUACGGUGUAGCGGUGAAAUGCGUAGAUAUCGUAAGGAAGACCAGUGGCGAAGGCGGGUCUCUGGACAGUUCCUGACACUGAGGCACGAAGGCCAGGGGAGCAAACGGG
rnacentral:rRNA from 1 species